GAUGAACGCUGGCGGCGUGCCUAAUACAUGCAAGUCGAGCGAACGGACGAGAAGCUUGCUUCUCUGAUGUUAGCGGCGGACGGGUGAGUAACACGUGGAUAACCUACCUAUAAGACUGGGAUAACUUCGGGAAACCGUAGCUAAUACCGGAUAAUAUUUUGAACCGCAUGGUUCAAAAGUGAAAGACGGUCUUGCUGUCACUUAUAGAUGGAUCCGCGCUGCAUUAGCUAGUUGGUAAGGUAACGGCUUACCAAGGCAACGAUGCAUAGCCGACCUGAGAGGGUGAUCGGCCACACUGGAACUGAGACACGGUCCAGACUCCUACGGGAGGCAGCAGUAGGGAAUCUUCCGCAAUGGGCGAAAGCCUGACGGAGCAACGCCGCGUGAGUGAUGAGGGUCUUCGGAUCGUAAAACUCUGUUAUUAGGGAAGAACAUAUGUGUAAGUAACUGUGCACAUCUUGACGGUACCUAAUCAGAAAGCCACGUCUAACUACGUG
rnacentral:rRNA from 1 species